GAGGAGAGAAGUAGUGAGGGGGGAAAAGGGAGAAGGAGGAAGAGGGAGUUUGUCUCGAAGAAGGGGCUAUAUUGCUUCCCUCCGCCGUACCAAACUGAACGCAAGUCCCAAACGCACGCAAUACGAACUCGAAACGGACGCACGCACGGAAGGGACGGACGGACGGACGCCUGGAUUUGUAUUAUCAUCAUCAUCAUCGUCGUCGUCGUCGUUGUCAUCAUCCUCUGACAAUCUUCACCACCACACACACGCACACACACACACAAACGGUUGGUUGGAUUGUGCUGGCUGACUGGCUGUCUGGUGGGUUUUGUGUUCACUCGCAGGACUAGGCUACUUGUUUCCCCCGUUGUUGUGAUCAGCGAGAUAAAGGCUUACGCAGUGUAGGUUGUGCGCGCGGCAAUUUUGUUGAAUGGAGUGAGACAAAGAUAAUUUCACAUUUCGAGGAAUUGGAAACUUU